GUACAAAUUCCGCUGAGCAAAAGAAUAAGAGUUGCUGAACAGCAGCCAAGAGACUAACCCAGCAACAGCUGACAUGGAUACACGUCUUGUCUCCACAUUUGAAGGUGAAGAGAAACCCAAGUUGCCAGAGCUCAGAGGUAGGACAGCUGUAAAGCCUCCUGCUUCAGUUAAUGAAGUGUGUGGUGCUCCCAGCUUUGAGAAGAACAUCCAUCCAGAAUUUGAGCCCUGCAGUGCUCCAGGAUUUGAGGACUGCAUUCCACCACAUUUUGAUUAUCCCACACCCCUAGAGUUUGACUGUGCUCCUGCAGAGUUUGAUGACUGCAGUCUCCUAGGGUCUGACAACUUGAACAAUGAAGGCUAUGCUAUUACACCACGUCUGCAAGAUGCAAAGUCUCCUGCAAAUGCAGUGCAGGAGUUCAUUCCAUUCAGUAUGUUUCGUUCAGAAGGGGAUACACAGAGGACAAGUUUGGACAUUCAGACUAUUAGAUUUGCCAGAAAACGUGUUGGCAGGAUUGGGAUGAGAUUUGGAUUCUUUCCUUCUCUCUCAUCUGGCUUUGAGCUAACCUUGUAAUUCUGCUGUUGCUCAGAGAAACCUGAUUUUUUGCUUGCUUUGAAGAAUUGGCUGAAAGUCUGAAGAGAAAUCUCUCUGGAGAUUAGUUUGUUUUCCAGGGACAAUUCCUUUCUCUACCCUUUGUGUUUCUGAAGGUCUUCCAGGUGGACCCAUUUGGAAUCCCUUGGAAAACAGACAUAAUUAACCAUGAGAAGAGUUCGGUCACUGCAUCUUUACUUACGAUAAAAGGUGUCACUUUUGUACCUAUCUUGUGUGGUCCACACACUUGUGUGAAUGGAUGAGGAAGAGGGUGAACACCUUGACAGACUGAUGGACAUGAGCAGUUUGCCUAAGCCUUCAGAUAAUACAUACCAUCAAGAAAGCUGCAGUUUAGGCAUGAUUUUGAUGCUGGCCAUUGAGGUAGAGUCAGUUCAAACCAUAGAAGGGAAGUGUACUCUACCGAAGAUGAUGCAGCAGUUUUUGACGAGGAACUGCAAUCAGGAUAACUGCCUGUCUUUAAAACCCUUACCCCUCCAACUGUGCUCAGAAAGGAGAGGUUAGAUAUUUUUUGGAGGGGAUCACCUGCUAGCUCACAUUCAGGCUUAUCACAGCAAAUACUUGGUUUGAAGGCAAAACUCUUCAGUCCGCAGUGUGAGUUUAUGAGUAUUCAUGGUGUAAAAUUGAACUCCUAAUGGGUACUUGUUGGGAAAGAUGAAGAAGCUGCUUCAGCUGUUUACUAGCCAGAAUCCACUGAAUAGAGCCUUAGACUCACUGAGAAGCAUCAUGAUUUGGUGACAGUGAAUGACAUUUCUGGAGAUGCCCAGUCUGACAUCUUCUUUGGAAAAAUUAUGAUCUGAUGAUGACAAAGUGUCUGAAACCAGAGCAAGAAAGCUAAAAUGCUACUAAAAUUUUGAGUCAGAGGAUGGAUGGAUGAAGAUCUUAUUCCAAAUGGGCAGUGCGCUUGGAGCUUCCUCCUGCCUGCAGGGGGAAAGCUCAGUCACACUGGCAAAGUCCUGACUGCUUUUUCAGCAAGGCUUCAGUUUGCAGUGUGGCCAACAGGGGCUGUGCCAUCUGCGACAUGAGCUGGAUGGCUUUGUGCUGCAAAGAAACGUGCAGGUAUCUGCUGUUAAGCUACAGCAGUACAAGUACAGCAGAUGUGAGCAUGCAGCUCUGGUGAGGGAAGGAGCAACUGUGGCUGUGGACCUGAGAGCUGAAAUUUCCCAGCUUCCAUGUGUCACUACCAUUCCUUCUGAAACACUGGUUUUAUGUGCUCUUCUUAAAUGGUUUUCUAUGCAGAUGUAGUUCUACACAAGAUAACUAGAGCAAUGUCCUUGAAGAUACCCCAUUUUGUCUAGUUGAGGUACUUGCUAUAGCUUCCAGAUGUGUUGCUUAUCACUGAUAAAUGUCCUUUCUAACCACCAGGCUUCUAUAAUAACAGCAACAUCCUCUAAAUGGGGGCUGAAGUCCCAAACAGUAACCAAUCAUUGGAAACUAAGUGGAGACCAAGUGCCCUUAGAAAACCUGUGUCCUCGCAUGGACAGCGUGAGGAGGACACCUCCCCAGAUGACCACCGACCCCUGCACAAGCACAGAAGAUUCGGAUACGUUUGCAUAACCUUGUAAUUGCAGUAAUCUCAUGAAUAUGUAAUAGAUAGAUGCCUUAUGUAGUGGAUAGGUGUGUACUGAGAACUGCUGGGUUAUAAAUAGUGGAGAGUGCGAUGACUCAGAUCCACUUGAUUUGUGGAGAUUACUCACCUUGAGUGCUGUGCAGAAAUAAAGCAAUGUUUCCUCUCUAAUCACUUGUCUUUUCAAUGUGUUUCAGGACAUUUUGAAAUCGACAUCACCACCACCGUUCCUUCUUACGUGCUUUUCUUAAGCGGUGAGGUUUUCUACGCUCUGGGUUUGCAGAGGGUUUCUUUAUGCUGGGUCAGGAGGAAUGUGAAAGCCUCGUUGGGGUUUCAGGGCCCUUCAGCCCAGGUGCUUCACCCUACCUCCAUCUCAUGCAUAAAUUCUGUCCUCAAGACUGGAGCAGCACCAAGGUGAUGCUCCGAAUGAUGGCAGAGGGAGCUGGGGCUUUAUGUGAUGCUCCUUGGGGGAGCAUGUUGCCAUCCCUGCUGUCCUAUCCAGUGAGGCUAGGGGAGCUCCAAGGGGCUGGGUGUGUGCAGGUGGCUUCACUGGGAGGUUUGACUGCAUGCCUUGCCCUGUGCUGCUUGGGCACCAUUGGUAACUGUACAACCAGGUGCCCAGCCAGUGAGCAGUUGGUUUUAGAAUGCUCAGGGCUUGGUCAAAAUAGGGGGCAGGGCCCCUGUCCCCUGUAUAAGGGCACCUGGCUAGGGGCACAGAUGGGCUGGGUGGGAAAUGAAGGGAGGUUGGGGGUAGAGAGGACUGAAAGCCCUGCUACUGCCAUUACCUGUUAUAGAGCAACACCCUGGUGAUAUGCUGGGGUGCUUACAGAAGUACGCGUCCCUGUUGAAUCCUCUGAGUGUUGUACCGUCAUAAUAGAGCAUUUCUUUGUUGCUCUGAUAGGUUGUGACAUGCCCAGCACUGCCUGGAGUGUGGUGAUGAGUACCAUAUCACCACAAGACUUCAAGGCCUAAGGUAGUAUUUUGGGCAGUGGCACGGGGUAUAGGAUAUGUUUCCAGCCACCUGGUAGUUAUUUUCUCCAUUGUAAGCACAUGGCAUUUGCUAUUUCAGGUUUGUGGUUCUGCGGCUAACAAAUCAACUGAUGGAUGGGAAAUCGGGGAAUCUCAAACAGUAUGAUACUACCACUGGUGCACCAGUGUGGUAGUGAUCAGUGCCUGCUGUUCUUCAGCUCUUAGCAAUCCCCCAUCAGAAAGGUCUUUUGAGAGGAUGGGCGAGGUAGACAGUUGCCUGAUGUUCUCCAUCUCCAAGGCACCUAUACAAAAAACCUAUUGGUAUUCUUUGAGUCCUUGAAGUACCCUUUCCUGAGGUAAUCUACACCAAGGAUGUGCAGAGCCUCUGGACCAGUCGCAAUGGGGUGUUUUUGCUACUCAUUCUCAGUCAGGCUCAAUUCAGACUCCACUAAAAUUAGCUCCUGGGAUCCCCCUGUCACUCCGGAGGUACAGACAGGUUCUGACCCUUCAUAACUUUAUGGCACUAGGCUCUUAUACUCCUGUGGUUCUGAUGUGCCAAGCCAUUGAAUCCGCACAGCCCAAUAAACCCGAUUGUCCCUUUCCUCCACCUGACUGGAGGCAGGGCCCUUCUAGUUCUGGUUAUUCUAUUCAUCAGUCAUGAAUGCAAACCACAAGGCUGGUUAUCAAACUCAGAAAUAAGGUCAGACCACCUACUCUGUUUGAAGAACUGCCCACUGGAGACUGGAGUGGUCAUUUUCCAGGAAGAACUCUCUUUUGUGAUGGCUUUCCCUCGCAACUCACAUAUCCAUACCUCUAGGCUUCAAGUGAGUUUUCCAUCCCAUUUCCUCAUAUCCUCUCCAUGGCCAUGCAGGUAAGACCACCGGUUAGCACGUGGUGUAUACCCAAUAUAUCUUCUGUCUUGAAUUAAAAAAUGCUUACUUCUGGUAUCUGAGAUGCUAGUCCAUGCAGAUAGGACAGAAGAUUUAUUCCCUUUGAGUUGUUGGGCCACUUCGGAAUGCUUCUCCACAGCUGAAACACAGGCCCUUAGAGAGAAGGAGAGAGAUAUUUUGCUGGAGUUCAUCAGCGAAUUUAUCCACCAUUUGUUCCUCUCCCUCUUUCCAGGUCAUUUCUGGCAGUGAGUUGGCAUACAGAGAUGGUGAACUCCGUACAAACUUACGCCACAUGGAUUGUGGAAUAACACAUCUCAAUUUUGGAAUAAUCAGAAGUUCAGGCCAAUAUUAUGCACCAUCUCCAGCACAGCCAAUUCCCUCAGAUACUGGAUACCUCUUUCCAUGGUGGUCCACUUGCCUGGUUGACAUAAUAUUGUCCCUGUAGGGAUACACUUCCUUCACAGCUGACAGGAAUUGCAUCUAAAAGGGGAGAGAUUUUUUCAUUUUUUGUAAUUGCUUUGUCAAUGUCCCCAUCCCUAGAGAGGAACUGCAGCAACCUGGCUCCCAUGCUCACUGAAUCCAGACUAUCAACACCACAUCCCAGCAUUGAAGCGGCUGGGUGACAGCGUGCUCACCUGGAUGAUCGCUGAAAUCUUUCCACAUAUCUUGCACAGGUAUCAGGCAUCAGGUGGUUAUUGACUCACUUAUAGCCUCUGCCUCUUCCUCCUGUUCUUGUGAUGGCCCUGGUAUAGAGUAGCCUUCAUCAUCCUCUUCUUGCUUCCUUACUCAAUGAGCUGACUUGUACUUCCAUUGUUUCUGCUUGUGCGGGGGCAACAGUUACUGGUAUAGGUUGGAUCUCCUGUUCAACUACAGGGCUUGUCACAGGGGUUGGGUCUACCACAGGGCCUGUCACAUGAAUUGGAUCUGAUCCAGAAGCAUUUUCGUAUUUUUGAGGGUGCUGAAUAGCACUGAAUAUUUGAUAGGUGCAGGCCAGACCACAGCACAGUGCAGUAAGCUGUUACGCUUUGGCAUUGCCAGGAUCAGGUCACACCUUUUUAAAACAUUCUGUCAGCUAUUUUGGAGAUCCAAACCCGCUGGAGGUGAUAAUCAUGAUAGAUGCCUGCCCGUGUCCUCUCACAUACCUUGCCACCCAAACCAUCCUGCCUCAGGAGAGAUCUCUGCGUGCUAUUUUUAAAUAGUUUCUUAACCAUAAAUAAAACCAGAAACGCAUACAGAGGACAUGGCAAUGAAGUCAUUCUAGUUUGAAUAUCCCAGGUAUACUCAAAAUUUUCAACAACUAUUUUAACUCACCUGGAGUAAAGAAUGUACUUGUUAAGUUUCCAUGAUAAAGUUCCUAAAGUGUGAGAAUGUGCACUGCUGAGUACAAGUACCAAAAUAAAUCCACAACCGGAUCGUGUUAUAACAAGAGAAUAUGCUAUAUACAAGCUGGAAACAUCAUAAAUAAGCCUAGACCAGCUUUCAGAGUGAUGAACAACAUGGCCAGAGUUAAGAAAAACAACCUUGAAAGUAAGUAAAAACUGCACUAUGAACAACAGGUUGAGAUAAAAACCAUUUACUAGGACAAAAAAAAAAAAAAAGGAAGAGAUAAAUAAUAGUAAUGAUGCUAAUUAUUAAAUAUACACAUAUAUUUACAAAACAAGUGAUGCACAACACAAUUGGUCAGCACCCGCUGACUGAUAACCAGCCAGUCCCUAAGCAGUGGCUGCUCCCCUUAGUUGUAUAGCCUCCACAUGAUGCCAUGUGGCAUGGAAUACCCCUUUGGGCAGUUUAGGUCAGCUGUCCUGGUUCUGUCCCCCCUCCACUCCUUGUGCCCUACCAGCUUCCUUGCUGUCAGGACAGUACAAGAAAUGGAGAAACUAAAAUGACCUUGGCUCUGUACAGCACUACUCAGUAACAACAAAAACAUCGGUGUGUUAUCAACAUAGUUUUUCUCCUAAUGCCAACACGUAGCAUCAUACCAGCCACUGUGAAGAAAAUCAACUCUGGGACAUACUACAGAGCUGAAACAUACUGCAGAGAACUCAUUCAUUUUCUCUACAGCACAUCUAAACUUUCUCCGUGGCUUCCAAUAUAUCCUCCCUUCCUUAUAUAUAUCAACUACACUGCUAACUUUUGUGCGUAUGUAUCAGUCCUGAAAUUAACAGGAUGGCAAUAGUAAUGAUGUUCAUACUGAGUCUUAAGUUAAUUUGAUUAUUAGUGAUGCACUUUCCUAUUUUUUUUGGACAGGAAGAUGCUUGUGAAGAUUUACUUUCUUGCAUAACGCUGUAUGAAUGGUAGGAAGGAAUAAGAGAUUCUUCAUCGUUUCCUUUUUAAGUUCACGUAGACUGAGAAUGUCAUUCAUAAGCUUCAGUGCUUUAAUUUAAAGUCAUAUCUAUAAAUGACUGUCUUCUUUUAUGCACCAUGUGAUGCUAGUUUCUGUUCAGGUAUAGAGUAGGCAGCAGUUGGUUGAUAUGUGCAGUGCUGACAGGUGACCACCAUUUGCUUUGGUUUGAGAUCUUGGCCAGGGUGUGUUUCUGUCUAGUUUCAGAAAUGGCCAGCCUGUUCUGAGGGAGGUUCCAGGGAACUACAGUCAAGGCAGCUUCACCUCAAACUCUGGGAAUGAUCUGCAGACAUGUGAAGGAAAAGAAAGUGAUGACAAUUUGGAGAGUUGUGGUCUGGAAGAAAUUGCAUUCCUCUGAUGCCUUUACUUUAAAUAUUGCAUGGCUAUGCUCAGGAAGUCCUACAUGAAGAAAUAUUGUAGCAGAGGUGUCUUCCUGGAAAAAUAAAUCCCCUGGGAAAGACAUCCCUCAGAAGUCCAUUCUUUUUAUCUCCAGGUAAGCUAUGUUGCAUGUGUAUUCAAAGGCAGAAUGGAUGUUAAUGCUUGUAGAGCAACUUUGCCUGUAGUAAAGCAGUGUUUCCAAAUCAGAGAACAUAAACAGAAGGAGCAACAUGAGAUGCAUGUAUAACUGUAGCUAUACAAAAAUAAAUGUAAGCCAAAUUUACAGAAGUCAUAGAAGUAUGUAUCUCAAGGCUGAAUGCAAUUAAGUGUAAGGAAGAUGAUUAAUUUUACCCUCAAAUCUUCUGAACUUUGAGCAAAUAUAUAUAUCUUCAUGUAGACGUGCAACAUUUAAAUCUUUAGUAAUGAAGUAUUUUAUGUCUUCUGAACCCUUAAAAUUAGUUCAGAAUUAAUCGGCUUAUGGUCAAGACUUUCCUCUUCGGUUUGUAAAGUGCUGUAAUUGCAGGCAUUACAGACCACUUGGCUUCAGUUGCAGACAGAAGCUGCAGCCUGUCUUUCAGCUCAGACUGACCAUCAGAACUCAGUUCUUCUAAUUUGUCUCACUUCCUCAUGCUGCAUUCACUGUUGUGCUGCUCAGUGCUGUUGUACAGGACAUGCAGAAACUCAGAAGCAAAUUCUGCCUGCAGACUCUGUGUCCAUCCUCUGUGCACUUCUGUGUUACAUGGAGAUUGUGGUUCUCCUAAUGGUAGAAAAGUACUGCAAGAACAUCAGUCCAGUCCAGCAUUUUUCCUGU
ensembl:lncRNA